rnacentral:rRNA from 1 species
AGCCGCGGUAAUACAGAGGUCCCAAGCGUUGUUCGGAAUCACUGGGCGUAAAGGGUGCGUAGGCGGUAGUGUAAGACUUAGGUGAAAUCUCCAUGCUUAACGUGGAGCUCGCCUGGGAGACUGCAUUACUUGAGGAUUGGAGGGGAGACUGGAAUUCUUGGAGUAGCAGUGAAAUGCGUAGAUAUCAAGAGGAAGACCAGUGGCGAAGGCGAGUCUCUGGACAAUACCUGACGCUGAGGCACGAAGGCCAGGGGAUCAAACGGGAUUAGAUACCCCGGUAGUCCUGGCAGUAAACGGUGCACACUUGCUGUGUGAGGGAUCGACCCCUUACGUGGCGAAGCCAACGCAUUAAGUGUGCCGCCUGGGGAGUACGGUCGCAAGACUAAAACUCAAAGAAAUUGACGGGGGCCUGCACAAGCGGUGGAGUAUGUGGCUUAAUUCGAUGCAACGCGAAGAACCUUACCUGGCCUUGACAUGCAGAUAGUAGAAGGGUGAAAGCCCGCCGAGUGAGCAAUCACAGUCUGCACAGGAGGUGCAUGGCC